rnacentral:piRNA from 1 species
UCUCCAAGAUGAGCUGGUUGAUUUUA